GGAACAACCUGACCUAGGAGCGAAAGACUCAUCACGUUUUGAAUCCUCAUUAAUUCAUCAUUCCGCACAAAACAGAGAGAAGAGGAAAAGAAACUAGCCAAAACUACAGAAAGAAUCCAGUACAGUAGCAGAAUACAAACUCUUGGUUACCGGAUCGAUGAGCUAUCCUGAACGAUCAUGAUUAGCACCAGGCUGUCAGAACUGGCUUAUACGGGAGCUGAAUUAAUUAAAACAGGAUUAAAUAUUCGAGGCGCUUCAUGUACGUGCGACCCUGACGUACCGAGAACAAACUCCAUCCAACAAACUUGCUUGUUUCGACGCUUAAUAAUAAAGCCACGGAGAGGGGUCUGUCAAAGUGAGUGGAUUAGUAUUAUGGCGUAUUCGAUUUGUCUGUUCAUAAAAGAGUCGCGGUGAACGUUAUCAGUGCGACGAGCGUAGCUCAGAGCACAUAAACAGAAGCGGAGAAAGGAUAGAAGAAAAACGAAAAAGCCUUGGAGGAUCCAGGCAUUCGCAGGUAUACAAACACAGCUGUGUCAUCCGAACGAAGAAUGCUAAAGAGAAGAGAUAAAAAUUGGCAUCAAACUCAUGGCGGGAUCAUUUGAAACCCAAGAAAAUCAAUAUCUGACACAAUUUCAUCGGCCGUGAUUCGUAAAUUCUGCAUCAGCCCAGGAUGCGAUUUCGAUGACAAUUCAUCCCAUACGACAAGAACGGAAGUACAGCCGUUCAAUAGACAUUAUUAACACGUGAACAUGCACGUGUCUCCUUUUAAUUAAUACAAGAUGAUUGCAUUGUGUGACAUUAAUAAGCAACUGUAGACUCGUACGCAGCUAACGCUUCAAACAACAGGAUAGAGGAUACGAAUUUCGAGGAAUCCUCUGAUCGAAGAUAUCCUUAGGUAUUCUCAUACCGAUGAGAUCACUGAAGAUCCAUAGAUCUGCAUCGAUUAAUAUUAAACCCACGCCUUUCAUCUAUGCAUAUUUGCGUAUGAUGUUGGGAAUUCCUAUAAAGUCGGAACUUUCGUAAUAAUCAUAUGCCGUGUAUAAUGGUGUAUAUAUCCAGCAUAGAGGUCUCUGACACGAAGCGAAUACAUUAUACCCUUAAAAUACUAGAAGUCACUUGAGAAUCCGGCUGAACCUCAAUGAGUAAGUCAUUUAUGUGUAUAUAUGAUAAUUUUAUGAUUUUAGGAAAACAUCAGAUUCGCCUUGGAAUUUCGAUGUUUAAAGUGAUAUAUUAAAGGUAUUUAAAAAAAGAGUCAAGAAUCCAGAACAAUUCAAAAAUUUUUCUGAACAUCUAUCAAUGGCCGACGCUGAUCGUUGAUGAUAAUCCAUCAUCUUAAACCGGAAGUUAUAUAAUGAUUGAUGUCUAGUCAAUCGAAACAAUAGAAUCGACAGUAAUCGAUAUCAUUAAGUUUCGUGGAAGUUUACCAUGACUGCCUCAUGGCUGCUUUCAGUUCUAUUCAUAUCACUCAGAUCGAAGGAGUACUUUACGUGACUCCUGUGUAUCCUGCCAAGCCCAACUGUGAUCUAAGCGCCAUCGACUGCGUACACGACGAUAGAGGUCGGAUCAAAAAUGAUAUGACGUAAAAUGAAAUGAAAUAAUGAAGAGAAAGUAAUGAAAAAAAAUUCUUUCAUUGUAACGGAGAAGCCUAUAACAGUUGUACGAGUUCGAGGAGCGUCGAGAAAUUCUUGAGGAUUCUUCAGAAAAUAAUAACUACCGCCAUCGUGUCGUUCGCUAUGUAUAUAUAAAAGCGCGUGAACCAAGUGGCCUCUGAUUCUGUAAAAAAAGAGUCGUUAGGUGACAUAACGCCUCUUCUUGGAAUGGUAGAUUCUACGUGCAACAGUGCUCGCCAGUCCUGAACUACUAAAUACAUCAAGAAGCAGAAUAGACAUAUAUAUGUGUGUACACAUAACAUUAACUUCCGCGUAGACGCAAGGAGUACAAUGAGGCCAGAUCGUAAAUCCGUCUUUAAUCGCAAGAACGCGUUGAAGCACCCGUCAAGACUCUACAGAGUGGCCGUUGGUUUUGCAUCGCCUGGAGCAAUUCCCCUGAUGAAUUAUCAUUGCAAUAACAUGAUAGCAUCGCCAGGAGUGAACGUAGCUUGUCACGGUUUGCAAUUUUUGGCAUUGCUAACAAGGCAGCCACCCUCCAUUGAUUUCAAAGCAAGAAGAGUCACGGGUUGGUUCUCAAGGUACUAUGAUUCAGAUCCGAGGAAGGAUAUCGAAGGUGGAUGACCGUUCUGUCAUCAGUCCACUAUCGGUAUCGAAUCGCAGUGGCGAACUGCGCUGCAGCUCUUUGAAGUGCCAAUAUACAUUUAAUCAGCAGUUUAGAAUUACGGUGACGUGUGCAUCGGCGGUACACUGCAAGUUCACUGUGUUACUUUAUACGGCAGUUUUUGCGAUGCGUCAUUCGAUAUUUCUUUAAUGCAGGUACAAUUGUGUGUUUUAAACGGCUCAACUCGAAGUCAUUAAAGGCACGUAGGUAGCUGGAUAUUCGCUUGCGAAUUGAUACCAGGGUAAAACAACGUAAAGAUUAUUACCAUCGGCGAUAGUGGAUAGUGUCGACAUUGAUAUGCAAAGCAUUCGGUUAUCCCUUUGGUAUAUGCGUAAGAGUAAUAGUGGAAAUUCGAAUAGCGCGUACAGGGCCGUACAGUGUUACAAGGCCGGCCAUAUUAAGCAAGACGGCAUUACUUAGGUAUGGAUUACGACUCCGGCUAUUGAAACAAUACACCGUCGAUAUUGCGUGUGCAGUAAUGCUGGAUUACUGCUAGUAUAGGAUUGCGCAAUAUUGAUGAACAGGACAGCGGGAAUAGAGUAUAAGUCCAGGGGCGAAAACCCAGAUGAUAAUUGUGUUUGCCAAAAUUUUAUAUAAAUAUCGUCACCGUUCACACGAAACUGUGGUGUCUAUUUGUACGGGCAAUCUUAUUUCCUAGUGUCUAAUAUCUGCGUGCUGGACGAUUGUCAAUUUCCAAAAGAAAUAUUCUUGCCGCUAUGCUUGACCUGACGUUGCCAAUUGAAUAUUC